UACGUAGGGGGCAAGCGUUAUCCAGAUUUACUGGGCGUAAAGCGCGUGUAGGCGGCUGGUUAGGCGUGAUGUGAGAUCUUCCGGCUCAACCGGAAAACUGCAUUGCGAACCGGCCUGGCUAGAGUGCAGGAGAGGGAAGCGGAAUUCCAGGUGUAGCGGUGAAAUGCGCAGAUAUCGGGAGGAACACCAGUAGCGAAGGCGGCACUCUGGGCCGGUACUGACACUGAGGAGCGAAAGCGUGGGGAGCGAACAGG
rnacentral:rRNA from 1 species